rnacentral:rRNA from 1 species
UUGAUCCUGGCUCAGAGCGAACGCUGGCGGCAGGCUUAACACAUGCAAGUCGAGCGGGCGUAGCAAUACGUCAGCGGCAGACGGGUGAGUAACGCGUGGGAACGUACCUUUUGGUUCGGAACAACACAGGGAAACUUGUGCUAAUACCGGAUAAGCCCUUACGGGGAAAGAUUUAUCGCCGAAAGAUCGGCCCGCGUCUGAUUAGCUAGUUGGUGAGGUAACGGCUCACCAAGGCGACGAUCAGUAGCUGGUCUGAGAGGAUGAUCAGCCACAUUGGGACUGAGACACGGCCCAAACUCCUACGGGAGGCAGCAGUGGGGAAUAUUGGACAAUGGGGGCAACCCUGAUCCAGCCAUGCCGCGUGAGUGAUGAAGGCCCUAGGGUUGUAAAGCUCUUUUGUGCGGGAAGAUAAUGACGGUACCGCAAGAAUAAGCCCCGGCUAACUUCGUGCCAGCAGCCGCGGUAAUACGAAGGGGGCUAGCGUUGCUCGGAAUCACUGGGCGUAAAGGGUGCGUAGGCGGAUCUUUAAGUCAGAGGUGAAAGCCUGGAGCUCAACUCCAGAACUGCCUUUGAUACUGGGGAUCUUGAGUUCGGGAGAGGUGAGUGGAACUGCGAGUGUAGAGGUGAAAUUCGUAGAUAUUCGCAAGAACACCAGUGGCGAAGGCGGCUCACUGGCCCGAUACUGACGCUGAGGCACGAAAGCGUGGGGAGCAAACAGGAAAGGAUACCCUGGUAGUCCACGCCGUA